AUUGAACGCUGGCGGCAGGCCUAACACAUGCAAGUCGAGCGGAGCGGCUGACGGGUGAGUAAUGACUAGGAGUCUGCCUGGUCGUGGGGGAUAGCGUCCGGAAACGGGCGCUAAUCCCGCAUCCUAUCAGAUGCGCCUAGGGCGGAGUAGCUAGUUGGUGGGGUAAAGGCCUACCAAGGCGACGAUCCGUAACUGGUCUGAGAGGAUGAUCAGUCACACGGGAACUGAGACACGGUCCAGACUCCUACGGGAGGCAGCAGUGGGGAAUAUUGGACAAUGGGCGAAAGCCUGAUCCAGCCAUGCCGCGUGUGGGAAGAAGGUCUUCGGAUUGUAAAGUACUUUAAGUUGGGAGGCGUUACCAACAGAAGAAGCACCGGCUAACUCCGUGCCAGCCGCCGCGGUAAUAC
rnacentral:rRNA from 1 species